rnacentral:lncRNA from 1 species
UAGGUAAUUAUAUAUGGCACUCUCUCAAUUUUAUAUAUAUAUAUAUAUAUAUAUAUAUAUAGUAUAGUAUAGAGCUACUAUGCUAUCAGAAGUAUAGAGAAUCUGAUGCUUCCAACUUUUUAACCAUUGGAUCAAAAAUUAUACAGUUGAGAUGAUUACGGUCCCCCCUAGGAUUGAGUAGUACCUCUAGGUUGAGUGGUACCCACAGGAUAAUAGUAUUAAUCCAAAGGUUAGAAAUAAUUAAAAGGGUUGAUCUAAUGGCCAAAAAAUCAGAAGCACCAGAUCCUCUAUACUUCCGAUAGCAUAAUAGCUCUACUAUAUAUAUAUAUAUAUUAUAGGAAGAAGAGAUGAGGAGAGAGAGAGAAGUGAGAGAGAGAGUAGGGCUACUAUACACUUUUAUAAGUAUAGGAGCUCUUCGUACUUAUAAGUUGUUUCCGAUUUGGAAUUUUCGAAUCGAUGAUCCACACCGUUAAACAUGAUCUAGAGUAUUUGAAACUUCUAGAAAAUAAAUUUCGUAAUUUUUCGAAAUCAUUAUAAAGUCCAUCAAGCGGGUAUAAAAUGAACGGUUAAAAUCGAACGACAUCCUAAAAAUGGAUGAUCGGAUCAUUCAAUUUAAGAUCGGAGUUAUUGAUCUUUAUGUAGGUAGUGAAAUAGAAUUUUCUAUCAAAAA